ensembl:snRNA
AAGAUACAUGCAAAGAAGAGGUUAGUGCUCCCUUUGACAAGGAUGGAAAGAGACAUUAGUCCUAAUAACUCAUAUAUGGUUAAAUAAUCAAAUUCAGAUAUUUAG